rnacentral:rRNA from 1 species
UACGAAGGGGGCUAGCGUUGCUCGGAAUCACUGGGCGUAAAGCGCACGUAGGCGGACUCUUAAGUCGGUGGUGAAAUCCUGGAGCUCAACUCCAGAACUGCCUUCGAUACUGGGAGUCUCGAGUUCGGGAGAGGUGAGUGGAACUGCGAGUGUAGAGGUGAAAUUCGUAGAUAUUCGCAAGAACACCAGUGGCGAAGGCGGCUCACUGGCCCGAUACUGACGCUGAGGCACGAAAGCGUGGGGAGCGAACAGG